UGUCAUUCGUAUGUUUUAAAAUAUUACAGGCAGCGACGCUUGGACGGGCUGUUCAUGUUGAUGAGGUCUUUACACAGACUCAUAUUCGCAAGGGGACUGGUGAAUAUGUUGAUGAGAGGUCUCGCAAGACCAUUGAAGAUUUUUCUACGAGAUUGACACAGGCAACACCAGAGGGGGGAUCUGGUGCUGAUGAAGAAAUGAUCAGGACCCAGUGCUAGGUUGAUACAGUCGGGGAAAAAAAGAAAGGACGACUGUAUGGGGUAGGGCAACUUGCCUCUCAUUAUAGUGCUGGAAGAGGAGGCAUAUUCAGACAUCAACCAUCUACCUCUACCACAUUUGACCCCAACAAUGUCGUCAGCAAAGAUGCUUAUGAUUCACUUCUAGCCAGAUUUGAAAAUCUGGAAAAUCUGGUUAGGACAUUGGUUCCUCAGCAAUGACAUACCGCCCCAUCAUCAUCCCAGCAGCCUCCUUUCCAGACCACGGUUGUGCAAGACGAAGAUAGUGAUGAUUCUGAUGAUCGUGAUGAUCCUAAUCCUGAUGGUUAUCAUAGGUUUUGAUAUUUAGGAACUUUAGAAAAAAAAUUUAGUUAGGUUUUCUUUUUUAAGAAC